rnacentral:rRNA from 1 species
CUACGGGCGGCACCAGUGGGGAUAUUGCACAAUGGGGGGAACCCUGAUGCAGCAACGCCGCGUGGAGGAUGACGCAUUUCGGUGUGUAAACUCCUUUUAUAUGUCAAGAAAAUGACGGUAGCAUAUGAAUAAGCACCGGCUAACUCCGUGCCAGCAGCCGCGGUAAUACGGAGGGUGCAAGCGUUACUCGGAAUCACUGGGCGUAAAGGACGCGUAGGCGGGUUGGAAAGUCAGGUGUGAAAUCCUACAGCUUAACUGUAGAACUGCACUUGAAACUUCUAAUCUAGAGUAUGGGAGGGGGAGAUGGAAUUAGUGGUGUAGGGGUAAAAUCCGUAGAUAUCACUAGGAAUACCUAAAGCGAAGGCGAUCUCCUGGAACAUUACUGACGCUAAGGCGUGAAAGCGUGGGGAGCAAACAGGAUUAGAUACCCCAGUAGUC